UGCAAGUCGAGCGGUAGCACAGAGAGCUUGCUCUCGGGUGACGAGCGGCGGACGGGUGAGUAAUGUCUGGGAAACUGCCUGAUGGAGGGGGAUAACUACUGGAAACGGUAGCUAAUACCGCAUAACGUCGCAAGACCAAAGUGGGGGACCUUCGGGCCUCAUGCCAUCAGAUGUGCCCAGAUGGGAUUAGCUAGUAGGUGGGGUAACGGCUCACCUAGGCGACGAUCCCUAGCUGGUCUGAGAGGAUGACCAGCCACACUGGAACUGAGACACGGUCCAGACUCCUACGGGAGGCAGCAGUGGGGAAUAUUGCACAAUGGGCGCAAGCCUGAUGCAGCCAUGCCGCGUGUGUGAAGAAGGCCUUCGGGUUGUAAAGCACUUUCAGCGGGGAGGAAGGCGUUAAGGUUAAUAACCUUGUCGAUUGACGUUACCCGCAGAAGAAGCACCGGCUAACUCCGUGCCAGCAGCCGCGGUAAUACGGAGGGUGCAAGCGUUAAUCGGAAUUACUGGGCGUAAAGCGCACGCAGGCGGUCUGUCAAGUCGGAUGUGAAAUCCCCGGGCUCAACCUGGGAACUGCAUUCGAAACUGGCAGGCUAGAGUCUUGUAGAGGGGGGUAGAAUUCCAGGUGUAGCGGUGAAAUGCGUAGAGAUCUGGAGGAAUACCGGUGGCGAAGGCGGCCCCCUGGACAAAGACUGACGCUCAGGUG
rnacentral:rRNA from 1 species